rnacentral:lncRNA from 1 species
AUAAACAAAAGGUGUAAAAUGAUUAUAAUAAAUAAUUUUAAAUAGAUUAUUAAUUAUCAUAUUCAUUAUUAUUAAAUAAUUUAAUUAAAUUAUUAACAAAUAUAAUAUAAUAAAAAAAAUGAAUGGACUUGAGCUUAAUUCAUUUAAAUCUUACGAUUCGAUUCAAAUAUUUGAAUAAAAUGUAAAUGUAAAAAAAAAAGAUUAAAUCAUAAAGAUCUACAAUUUAAUUGUUACGAUUUUUACAAGCUAACCCAAUUAUUAAAACAGAAAUCACAUCAUAAUAUUUUGAUUAUACUCGUCAUAUAUAGUUUUAUUUUUAAAGUAAGAAAUUAAUUGGAAUGAGAUAUAAUCUAUUUUUGUUAAAGUAAACAUCAUCCAUAUUUUUAAAUAAUUAUCUUAUGAUAAAAUAAUCAAUAAUUUUAAUAAUUCUUGUUAACAAUUGAGGUUAAUCGAUUUAAAUUAAUUGAAAUGAGUUAUAAUCAUAUUUUUUAAAUAAACAUCUUAUUUUAUUUUUCACUCGAAUUUUUCACACUAUCGAUUUUAAUAACAUAAGUGAGUUUGUAUUAAGUCAACGCGUUUGUUUAUAUAUUUAAUUGAUUCAAUACUUUAUAUUUUUCAAUAGUGGAGAUUAUAUUGAUUUAAUAAUUAAUAGAUAUUUUGAAGUAUUGAAUCGUGAUUCUAUAUAUUUUUUUAAAAGUUUCUUAUAUUGCAUUUAUUAAUAACUAGUAAUUGUACCCGUGCGAUGCACGGGACAACAAAUUGCAUUGUUUUGAUGUUGUAAGAAUAUAAACAAACGUUUGAUGUAUCGUAUGAUCAAAAUUCUAUUAUACUGGAACAUCAUUAAAUAUACUACACACAAAAAAAAGGAAAUAACUUUACUGUUGAAUAAUUUUCCAAAUGAUUUGAAUCAGCUAUUACCAGUAGAUUGAAAAUUUGAACCAGGAAAAAAAUCAUCAACUAUGUCUUUCAUGUUGAGCUUAAAAGUAAUUAGAUUUAAUAACUUAGUUAACAUAAUCAAAACUAAACUAUCGACAACAUAAAAGACCAUCUAUACAUCUUGCAUCGAAACUAAGCCCUUCUCCACUGCCUCAUUUUUAGGCCGUUUUGCCACUGGAAUUAACAAUUGGAAAAUUAAGAAACAAAAAUAAAUAUAAACAAUAAAUUAAAUAUCGCAUACAAACAAUAAGUCUUGAAGGUCGACUUCCAAUAGCUUGUGGCUCCGCCCAUUUUUGGUUAAUUCUCUCAAAUCAUCCAUUUCAAUAACAUGUCCAAUAACAUAUAAAAUGAAAUAAUUGCUAUACAUAAAAUUUGAAAACUUUGGUAUAAAUUAAUGAGAUAAAAGUUGAUAAAAUACGAAAAUAAUAAUUAGAAUAAUAUUUAGGAGAUAAAAUAUGAUUAAAAUAAAAAUUAUUAUUUAAAAUAAUAUUUAGGAGAUAAAAAUUUGAUAGAAAUCGAAAAUAAUAUUUAGGAGACAAUAAUCUGAUAAAAAACAAAAUUAAUAUUUAGGAGAUAAAAAACUAAUGAAAACAUGAUAAAACUCGAAAAAAAUAUUUAAAAUAUUAUUUAGGAGAUAUAACUUUGAUAAAAUUCAAAAAUAAUAUUUAGGACAUAAAAAUCUGCUAAAAGUUGAAAAUUAUAUUUAAAAUUAUAGUUAGGAGAUAUAAAAUUGAUAAAAUUAAAAAAAAUAUUAUUUAUAAUAAUAUUUAGGAGAUAAAAAUUUGAUAAAAAUAAAAAAUAAUAUUAAGGAGACAAAAAUCUGAUAAAAAUAAAAAAUAAUAUUUAAAAUAAUAUUUAGGGGAUACAAAUAUGAUAAAAUUCGAAAAUAAUAUUUAAAAUAAUAUUAAGGAGAUAAAAAUUUGAUAAAAAUUGAAAAACAAUUACAAAUAUGACAUUAGGGUUUCUUAGGGUUGCCCUAGCGUUUCUUUCUUUUAUAUAUAAGAUUUAAUUAAAAUUAUUUAAUAACAAUUAAUAUGAAAAUUAAUAAUUUAUUUAACAUAUUUAUCAUUUUACACCAAAGUUUUAUAUUAUAUAUAUUUAUUCUCUACACCAGAGUUUCACAGGUUCGAACCCCCUAAUGUGCUUUUUUUGUACAAAAAAAACCGGUUUAAUACCCGGGUCCCGGGUCGGGUCCUCGGGCCGAGUCCCACGGGUGGACUCGACGGGUCUCGGAUCCUGGAAUUGGGGACCCGAAACCGACCCGGGCUUGGUCGAGUCCGGUCCGGGUCCAUGAUCAACGGGGCGGGGCCGGGUCAGGGCGGGGCGGUCUUCGGAAGGAAGGUAAGCAUGCGAGAAUUCUUUGCAUACCUAAUUCAGAAACGGCAUGGAGAACCUUCGUUACUUUUGCAUUCCAAGAAGUUAUUUCAGCAAUUCUGUGUUGAUGGAUUUUCGAUGGUUGAGUCACAGAGGUUGAAUUUCAUAAGGUUCAUAGGGUUGACAUGUACAAGGGUAUCUAAGAAAAGAUUUUUAAAGGAGACACUGAGGGUAAAUCGGUUGGACAACGCAUUAUAAUUCCAGGGUCGUUCACCGCAGGUCCAAGGUAUAUGUUUAACAACUUCGUUGAUGCUCUUCAAAUAUGUAACUGGAUUGGAUUUGCAACCCUUUUCAUCACUAUCACAUGCAAUCCCCAAUGGCCAGAAAUACAAAGGGUAUUAAAAGAUUCAAAUCUCAGGCCGGAGGAUCGGCCAGACAUUCUGUGUCGUGUGUUCAAAAUGAAGCUCGAUAGUAUGAUGACGGAAAUCAAGAAGGGCCGUAUAUUUGGACGUAUUAGAGCAUGUGAGUAUUUAAUUAGAUAUCCAUUUAUAAUUAAACAUUUAAUACGUUUAUAUAAAUUAGAUAAUUUAGUCAUGUGCGAUUUUAACUACUUUUUGCUUCAUUAAUUAAAUUAAUUCAUAUUUUUUAAUACCGUAUGUUUACAUUUUUUAUGCAGAUGUAUGCACAAUUGAAUUUCAGAAACGAGGUCUACCGCAUGCACAUAGUUUAUUGUGGUUGCAUAAUGACGACAAGCCCAAGAAUCCAGAAGAAAUUGACAGGAUCAUAUGUGCUGAAAUUCCUAACGAAGAAAACGACAGAAAGAUGUACCAGUUGGUGGAGAAGUAUAUGAUACAUGGAACGUCCGGUCAGGCGAAUUUGAAAUCUCCAUGUAUGAAAGAUAGAGUUUGCACGAAGCGAUUUCCAAAGACGUUUGUGCAACGCACUGAAUCAGAUGCAGAUGAGUUUAAAGUGUAUAGGAGAAGGGAAGAUGGCAGAACAGUUACGAAGAAGAAGACUACUCUUGAUAAUGGGUUUGUGGUCCCCUACAAUCGUAUAUUGUUGAGUAAAUACCGAGCUCACAUUAAUAUCGAGCUAUGCAACCAAAACAAGUCAAUUAAAUACCUGUUCAAAUACGUAAACAAGGGGCAUGACCGAGUCACAACGGCAUUUUAUGAGACACGCAAUACAGAUGGCGGUGCUAAGAUUUGUGAUGAGAUAAAGAUGUACUACGACUGCAGAUAUCUUUCGGCGUGUGAGGCAAUAUGGAGGUUGUUUAACUUUGAUAUUCAUUACAGAGACCCGUCCGUAAUUAGGCUAAGCUUUCAUCUCCCCGAUCAUCAGCCACUUGUCUUCAAUGAAAACCAGUCGUUACAAAGUGUGUUGGAUAGGCCAUCUGCCAAGCAAAGAAAACAUAUUGGUGUUAGAUGAAUUGGAUUACGACCGGUUUGAAAUGGGUAGAGAACUUCAACAAUGUCUUGCUUCCAUUACAGAUGAGCAAAGAAAGGUUUAUGAUGUAGUCAUGGAUGUUGUAACCAAUGACAGUGGUGGAAUGUUCUUUCUAUAUGGCCAUGGUGGAACGGGAAAGACGCUUCUAUGGAAAACUCUUUCGGCUGCAGUUCGUUCGAAGGGAGAGAUUGUAAUUAACGUUGCAUCGAGUUGUAUAGCAUCGUUAUUGCUCCCCGGUAGAAGAACAACUCAUUCUUGAUUCGGACUACCCAUAAAUGUACAUGAGAGUUCCACCUGCAGCAUAUCGCAACAAAGUCCACAGGCAGAGUUGCUCAUAAGGGCAAAGCUUAUUAUAUGGGACGAGGCUCCUAUGAUGCAUAGAUACUGUUUUGAAGCCCUUGACAAGACAAUGAAGUCAAUAUUACAGGCUGACAAACACUUUGGUGGUAAGGUGGUUGUUCUUGGAGGUGAUUUUAGGCAGAUUUUACCAGUUGUGCUCAAAGCAUCAAGGUAGGACAUAGUACAUGCUACGAUAAACUCCUCUCCGCUGUGGAAUUUAUGUCGUGUCAUGAAGUUGACUGAGAACAUGAGAUUGCAGCCAUGUUCUUCUCUAUCUAAUGUGGAUGAGAUAAAAGAAUUUGGAGACUAGAUACUGAAUGUUGGUAAUGGGGAUGUUGGGGAGGACAAUGAUGGUGAAGCUUCAAUAGAGACUCCAGAUGACAUGUUGAUUGGUGAUUCAGAAGAUCCAUUCAGAGACCUACUCGAAUUCGUUUACCCGGAUUUGUUGAGUAACAUUUACGAUCGAGAUUAUUUUCAAGGGAGGGCAAUUCUUGCACCAACUAAUGAAUGCAUCGAGUCUGUGAACGAUCACUUAAUGUCUCUCCUUCCAGGAGACGAGAAGGUGUACCUGAGCUCAGAUAGUAUGUGUAGGGACGAGCACACAACGGAGGAUAAUGCAGAAAUUUAUUCGACUGAAUUCCUCAACACAAUAAGAUGCUCUGGAGUUCCUUCUCAUGCGUUGAGGAUCAAGGUUGGUGCACCCGUUAUGCUAAUAAGAAACAUCGAUCAAGCUAGAGGAUUAUGCAAUAGUACCAGACUUCAAAUUAUUAGAACUGGCAUUCACGUUCUGAGUUGCAAAAUUCUUCCCGAAAAAAAAUCGUUGACAUGGUGUUCAUUCCUCGGAUGACUUUAAUACCAUCUAACUCCGGACUGCCAAUUAAAUUUCAGAGAAGACAAUUUCCGUUGAUUGUUUCUUUUGCAAUGACGAUAAAUAAAAGCCAAGGCAGAACUCUUUCGCAUGUUGGUUUGUAUCUUCCUAGGCCUGUCUUCAGCCAUGGUCAACUAUAUAUUGCAGUGUCCAGAGUUAAGAGCAGAGGUGGCAUUAAGAUAUUCAUCAAGUCGGAUUCGGGUGAACUCACCAAUGUUACUAGAAAUAUCGUGUACAAGGAAGUAUUUCAUCGAAUUUGAAGGUAGAAAAUAUUUUCAUAUUUAUCAUUUAUUCAUGUGACAUGUUUUUUAUUUUAUUUUUAAAGAACUUAUUCUUUUGCAUGUGUUUCUUAUCUAUAUAUUUUCCUCGGUGCGAUGUUAUUUUCAGUCAUUUUCCUAGAGUGCUCGGUGCAAUUUUUAUUAUCUUUAAAAUUUAUUUUUGACGAUAUACUAAUAUUUAAUAGUAUUCUUAUAUUAUAACUAUGAAGAACAUGAAACUUAUAACAUAUUUUUAUUAUCGUUGGUCGAUUACGUUAUGUACUUAGAUUCAGUGACCGUAAUAAUUGUUAUCUGCUUAAAUUUAUUUUUGAGACAUGUAUUUUCAGUAAAAAAUAUGUCGCCCCGUGCAUCGCACGGGUGAAUACUAGUAACAUAUAAAAUGAAAUAAUUGCUAUACAUAAAAUUUGAAAACUUUGGUAUAAAUUAAUGAGAUAAAAGUUGAUAAAAUACGAAAAUAAUAAUUAGAAUAAUAUUUAGGAGAUAAAAUAUUAUUAAAAUAAAAAUUAUUAUUUAAAAUAAUAUUUAGGAGAUAAAAAUUUGAUAGAAAUCGAAAAUAAUAUUUAGGAGACAAUAAUCUGAUAAAAAACAAAAUUAAUAUUUAGGAGAUAAAAAACUAAUGAAAACAUGAUAAAACUCGAAAAAAAUAUUUAAAAUAUUAUUUAGGAGAUAUAACUUUGAUAAAAUUCAAAAAUAAUAUUUAGGACAUAAAAAUCUGCUAAAAGUUGAAAAUUAUAUUUAAAAUUAUAGUUAGGAGAUAUAAAAUUGAUAAAAUUAAAAAAAAUAUUAUUUAUAAUAAUAUUUAGGAGAUAAAAAUUUGAUAAAAAUAAAAAAUAAUAUUAAGGAGACAAAAAUCUGAUAAAAAUAAAAAAUAAUAUUUAAAAUAAUAUUUAGGGGAUACAAAUAUGAUAAAAUUCGAAAAUAAUAUUUAAAAUAAUAUUAAGGAGAUAAAAAUUUGAUAAAAAUUGAAAAACAAUUACAAAUAUGACAUUAGGGUUUCUUAGGGUUGCCCUAGCGUUUCUUUCUUUUAUAUAUAAGAUUUAAUUAAAAUUAUUUAAUAACAAUUAAUAUGAAAAUUAAUAAUUUAUUUAACAUAUUUAUCAUUUUACACCAAAGUUUUAUAUUAUAUAUAUUUAUUCUCUACACCAGAGUUUCACAGGUUCGAACCCCCUAAUGUGCUUUUUUUGUACAAAAAAAACCGGUUUAAUACCCGGGUCCCGGGUCGGGUCCUCGGGCCGAGUCCCACGGGUGGACCCGACGGGUCUCGGAUCCUGGAAUUGGGGACCCGAAACCGACCCGGGCUUGGUCGAGUCCGGUCCGGGUCCAUGAUCAACGGGGCGGGGCCGAGUCAGGGCGGGGCGGUCUUCGGAAGGAAGGUAAGCAUGCGAGAAUUCUUUGCAUACCUAAUUCAGAAACGGCAUGGAGAACCUUCGUUACUUUUGAAUUAAAAAACAAAUUGACUUAUUGUAAGUGGACAUGUUGGGGAUUUUUGUCAAAUAAUCCCAUCUAUUUUAUAUAGCCCACGGACACAUAAGAGAGCCCAAAUAUUCAGCAAAACAGUCAAAAAGUCAAAAUCACAAAACAAAGGGGCGACUGAAAUUCAAGAAACGUGUGGAAAAUAAUUAAAAAAAGAAUAAAAUAUUAAUAUCCGUAACCGACAAGGAUAAGUACUCCUUUCUGACCCUCCGAUGAGAUUAAUCAUAACCGUCCACUCAUCACCGACUCUUCUAUAAAUACCCAUCCCCUCAUUCCUUCUACUCCCGUCUUUUAUUGGUUCAAUCGCCUUUGGUUCUCUGCGAAUUGGAAUUUGGUUUGAAUAUUGAUUCUGUUUAUUUGUCGUCUCCAUUUUUUUUUUGAUUAUAUGUAUAUCAUCGUCGCUAUGAAACCUGCGCAAUUCAAUUCAACCGGCUGCGAUUAUCCGUCGUAUGUUUUUUCUCUUUCGUGGUACCGUGUGAUCGUGGUCCUGAUUUAAUUUUAUUUGGGUAAUUUUGCCGGUCUGAUAAUCAGAUCGUCAUGGAUUCGCCGGCGUAUAUUUGCGAGGCCGUCUGAUUGUGAUUCUGAAUUGGUUUUAUUUUGGUGAUUUUGAUCGGGCGAGGUAUUAGGUAUGGUUUUCGGUUAUGCAUUAACAAGUGGUUUAUUAUCAUGGGUUUUGCGUUUGGAUUGUGUUUUCUCUUGCCAGGGUUUGGUAAUCGACUGAUUUGAUUUUUGCUCCACCUGGUUUGAACAUGAUUCUUUGUAGAAGAAAGAGCUUCGAAUUUGAGUAUGUUCUCCCCUCGUUGUCAUAAUUGUGUUUAUAUGACUAUUUGUUGUUCAGAUAAGAUGUUUUGGCUAAUGAUUCUAAGCAGAGUGUCUGGUAAAGUUUCUUUCGAUUUACAUAUACGAGUCUCUCCACCAGGUUCUCCUUAUGAUAUAUAUGCGCACAAUUUGAUAUUCGUUGACCUUCGACCGUUGCUUUUGACUGUGUUGUGGUAAUAAAGUAGGAACUCAGCUCUGAAACACCUCUCAGUUCCGGAUAUUGUUCAAUCUUGCUUUCGACCGUUGCUUUGGACCUCCUUAUUUCUCUAACUUUAAAUCACAAUUUCUUUUACUGCGUCUUUGAAAUCCCUUUGCUGUUUUACAGCUUUAUUUUGGUGGUGAUCCUACUAUUUGGUACUUUCUGUUUUGUGGUUUUAGGAAAUGUUUCAUCUUUAUUUUAUGGAGCUAAGCUAACUGUGCAACUACAACGAUUGAUCUCAUUUUACUAUAGCUUACGCUCACCUGGAUAAUGUGGAUAGGAGCUCAUGUACACCUGGAUUAUGUGGAUAGGAUCGCCAAUUGCUUAAGAUAGAGAUCUCGAUUGGAUCUGAUGACAGGAAGAUAAUUUAUUUUGUGAUUUAAUUAGCUUAUGGAUCUUUCUUUUGUUUCUGAUUGUGUAAUAUGUUGAUGAGUGGGUUUUUGUCAGUUCCAGAUUGUAUAUUCUUAUGUAAUCAUCAUCCUUCUCAUUCAAUUUUCAAAUAUAACCAUAUGUUUUCAAAUCUAUUUGGGUGAUUUUGAUAUGGCAUGUGGUAUGAUGUUUGCUUAUGGGCCACUAUUUUGUCUAUUUUCCGAUUGUGUGGGUGGCAUAGACUUCGAAGGAAAUGGUUAAAAUAUGAUUUUCUCCUUAUCCUGGUUGUGCUUCUCCUCUCGAAAAUUGAUGGUGGAUGUCCUACCAUGGUAACUUUUGUUUGUGUAUUUUAGGGGGUCUGCGGUAGUUCCAUCUUUGGACAGGAUAACCCAUUGCUUCAGCAGAAGAUGGAUUAGUGCAGUUGGAUCUGAGAUUGAGUCUUAUUAACGGACGACAUAAUGUGGAAGAUAAUUUAAUUUCUGAUUUAUUUAUCUCAUGAAAAUUUUCUUGCUUCUUAGUGAGAUGCGUCUCCGGUUCUUUGAGAGAGUAUUUUCUAAUGUCUCCCUCAACCAUCACCUUUUCGUCCAAUUUUCAUAUUACUACUUUAUACGGUCUUAUUGCUUUCAAAUCCUCUGUUCUUUUCCUUUCUGUCUGCAGACAUUUGCAACAAAAAUGACGGUGGGCCUUCUCUUUUGGGUUUUAAAGAAAUUUUUGCUAGUUCCAUCUGCAUUACUCUGGCCUAUUGACUAAGCGGGAAGAUAAAUUAAUUUUGUGGCUUAAGGGAAGUGUCGUAGUUCAAUUUUACUAUCUGAAACUACAUGUUCUAUGGGAAUGAUGAAUCUGAUUUUACUAUUUCUUGAGCAAACCGUUGGAAAAUGAGCUUCAGAGUCUCUUAUGUAAAGCUACAGAUGUGAUGGAUACUUAAUGGUGAAGAUAAUCUAACUUGUUUUUAUCUAAAUGCCUUUCUGUUUGUGGUUCUGAUUUGGGUGGUUUUGCUGGUCUUACAGUCUAAUUAUCGGGAGCCUCUGUUAUAUGUUUCUUUUAUCUGUUGUACUGUUUAGGUCUUCUCUGAAUGAUAAUUGACCCGGCAAGGUAUUUAUGAUGUUUGCUUAUGCAAUUUAAUCUCCUGUGGUUUGGAUUUGGUUCAUGCUUUCCCAUCCUGGUCUGGUUGUUGGCUGGGGUUGGAUUUGUUUUCUGGGCGGUCAUAGGAUUUCUGGAAAAGGAAAGUGUUUCGAGCUUUGAGCAUAUCUCCGUCUUUUCGUAAAAUUUGCGUGUAUGACAAUUUCAUGUUAUGUUUUGAGAAGUUCGGUUGCUACAUAUGAUGGUUUGGACUGUGUUGAUCAUCGAGUGGUGGUGAGUACGAUAGUGAUGCUUAGUUAUAUAUUCUUAUGAAUCCCUCCAUAAUCUAUUCUUAUCGGAAGUCCGGUCUGAGUUUUUAGAGUCUUAUCGGAAGCUACUUGGGUCUGAGUUUUUGAGUUCUUCGGCGACUUUCUUGCUUGGGAUUCUAACUUUGGAUAGUCUGCAUAUGUUAUUACAAGACAAAAACACACAUAUUAUGGAGAUGUGAUGUCUAAAGAAAAUGUAGAUAAAUCGCAGAGAAGCUUAUAAAGAUUGACACAAACGUAAUAAAAUCUCACCUGGAUGACAGACAAGAAAAACGUGGGCCCCACCAACCUCACCGAGCCGCUUUUCUACUUGCAUGGCAUGCUGAAGGCAGAACACAUGCAAUCGAGAAGAACGUUCGUCGGAUCUUGAUGAAAACAGGUUUUCAUAGUCGAUUCCUCUAAUGGCGUUGAACCAUUGUUUGCUCCAGUCUUACGGGUUAAAGAAUUUGAGGUCUCGUUCCACGAUUCCAUUUGACGUCUAAACCUAUCGGUUAAAGAAUUCUUCGACUCGGCCAUGUUACAAUUUUUGGAUUCUCCGUUCUCGUGUGUGUCUAUAGGUAGGCUGAAUUUUGUAUUAGAAUCAGACAUUCGUAAAUCAGUGUCAUUUUCAGGGCUAUCGAUUUUACAAUUUCCACCGCCUUGGAAAGAAAUAUCAGCAGCUUCAUUCUCGUCCACCUCUUCAGAGUCUGACGAAUCGGCAUUUGUUAAAGCUAAUAGGCCAAGUGACGAGGGCGCUUUUUGUGCCUUUUCGGAAACCACACCUACACUGUUUUCUUUUUCCACCGAUAAUGGGGCGUCAAAAACACGUCCACUGUGUGUCUUUCUAAGCAUCAAAGCUGCAAAAUCGAGACUUCCAAUCGUAAGUAAAGCCAUAUCAUUUUAUCCUAUAUAUAUGAAAGCAAAAAGAUUUCACAACGAAAUAUACCUGAAGAAGAAGAAAGCUUUGCGUUUAUAGCCUUUGCGUCUCUGAUGUCAUUGUGUUCAUUAUCACUUCCCAAAAAUUAAAUAUGCUGCAAUCACCCGACAUUAUGUAACGAGCAGCUGCUUCUGUAGGCUGAACAAUAGCAACACACGCAAAACACAAAAUCCCACAAGUUACACACGAAAACAGCCCAUGCUCAGAAUUAUGACAAGCUUUCUUUAUUUCCCGAUCCAUACAUGGAACCUCCUCACUAUUACGAAAAUGCCCCUUUGUUUGCUUCAUGCCUUGCUUACUGCUUAAAAUGAAUUCAUCGGGGGCACUAUUAUCGUUGCUUGUGGUCUUCGUCUCGAGAUCUAAUUGAUGAUUUAUUUACCUUCUGUGUUUUUUACCCGUCUGUUUCAUUUUGUCUUAACUUUGCAUGCAGUUGGAUUUGAGGUUCAGAGUCUUAGCUACUGAUUGGAUCACGACAUAGUGGGGAAGUUGAUGUAUUUUGUGAUUUGUUUAUUAAAUGCAGUUGGAUCUGAGUUUAAAGUCUUGUUUAAAGCCACCAAUGGGAUCAAGGCACAAUGGAGAAGACAACGAAUUUGUGAUUUAUUUAUUUCAUUUUAUCUUGUGCUUUCUGAUCUGUCCUUGAUUUCUAUUCUCUGCUUUAAAGAGACGUAUGUUUACUUACCGUUUGCAUUUUAAUGCUUCUUGUGUAAGUGGACUCAUCCAGGUUCAGGUAAUCUGUUCGUCCUUCUUACUGUUGAUUUUAGUUAUUUUUUUGUCUGAUCACUAUGUUUUUUUCUGGCUAAUGGGACUUGCUUGCCUUUUUUGCAGAACCGGUUGUAGUGGUAAAAUAGGCUGAAUUGGAAUGUAUGAUUGUGUAUUAAAACCCUGGCAAUCUGUCUUUGCUGUUGAGAAUAAUUUCAGUUUGUCUCGAUAUUUGCUCGAUGUGGUUUGUGUUACAAAGCUUUCGAAUUUGGAAAAUUCCACAAGUAUGUUCUACUUCCCUGCAUUGAGUUUAUGUUCUUCCGGUUUUUGGGUUUGCUCACCUUUUUUUGCAGAACCUAGAUGGGAUUGGCCCUAUCAUAUGAUUACGGCUCUCCAUCGAUUCUCCAUCAUCACUUCAUUAACCAGCAUACUUGGUGGAGGUGAAAUUCGGUGUGUAUUAUAUUUUCAGGCCUUUUAAGGGUGUUAUCUCAGCUUACCUCUUCUUAAUGGAUUGCCAAGACUCGUUUAAUUGAACAUCCUCCAAUUCUGUAGUGAUUUCUGUUGUCGGCAGUUUGUUCGUCGGAGUUCCUGGGUUGUGUUUUAUAAGUCACGACGGUAACCUUAUGAUACGCUCACACUAAGGAUAAAAUUCCAUUUCUCCCUCUCCCACUCUCUCUUUUUUUCUCUCUCUCCAUUUCUCUCUCUUUUUUUCUCUCUCUCCAUUUCUCUCUCUCUCUCUCUCUUCUCUUUCUUUCUCUCUCUUCAUCUCUCUCUCUAUUCUCUUUCUUUCUUUCUCUUCAUCUCUCUCUCUAACUCUCUCUCUCUCUCUGUGGCUACCCAGAGUCCUCCGCCGUCGCGGCUGCUCCCCACCUUGCGCCGCGGCGGCGGCGGCGGAGGGCUGUGGGCAGCCACAGAGAGAGAGAGUUAGAGAGAGAGAUGAAGAGAGAGAAAGAAAGAGAAGAGAGAGCUAUUUUAAUUUGUCUAGGGGUCUAUCAAAUUAAGAUUAGAAUUUGGGUUUUUACUAGGAAAGAAAAAUUCAUAGGACCUAUCCCUAUAUAUUUUCAAAACUAGGGAGGUAUCCUACAUUUCCCCUUUAUAUUAUUGGUAGUGUAAGUUUUAUUAUUAUUGUUAUUACCCGAAAUGGCUAAUUUCAAUCCAAUGCAAUCAAAAGAUAAUUUUAUCAUCAAAUGUAUUUUAAAUUUGUCAAAUAUCAACUAAAAUAUUAUUAUUUAAUUAAUUUUAGUAUCAUAGGUUUUAGUUGACUUUCCAGAUGGAUUCUUAAUUUGUCGAAUUACUAAGAUAUAAAACAUAAUAUAAUUAUUUAAUUAUGGGCAAAUAAGUGAUACUCCUUAUAUUUGAAAAUAUAUAUGAGAAGGUCUUAUUGAAUUUUUCUGUCCUAGUUAAAAACCCAAAUUUUAGUUUUAACUAGGCAGACCCCCGGACAAAUUAAAGUAUCUAUUUCGCCAUUUUAGUUUCAAUUCAAUACAUGCCCUAACCCCUUAACCUUCUCUCUCUUCCACUCGCACGUCUCACACCCACACCGUCGUUUACAUCUCUCCCUCGUCUCUUCGUCUCUCCCUCUCCCUCGUCUAUUUCGGGAGCCUCUGUUGUAUGUUUCUUUUCUCUAUGGUACUGUCUAGGUCUUCUUUGAAUGAUAAUUGAUCCAGCAAGGUCUUUAUGAAAUUUGGUUAUGGAGUGAUUUGCAAUUUAAUAUGCCGUGGUUUGGAUUUUGUUCAUGCUUUCCCAUCCUGGUCUGGUUGUUGGCUGGUUUAAUUUGUUUUCUGAGCGGUCGUAGGAUUUCUGGAAAAGGGACGUGUUUCGAGCUUUGAGCGUUUCUCCGUCUUUUCGUGAAUUUACGUAUAUGACAAUUUCAUGUUAUGGUUUGAGAAGUUCGGUUGCUACAUAUGACGGUUUGGGCUGUGUUGACCAUCGAGUGGUGGUGAGUAUGUUUGUGAUGCUAAGUUAUAUAUUCUUAUGAAUCCCUCCAUAAUCUAUUUCAAAUCCUAUUUCGUUUUUCGUUUCUAAUUUCAGAAACUUGCAACAAAAAUGAAUGUGGUCGUUCAACCCUUUGGUACCUUUGAUUUGUUGUCUUUAGGAAGUUGUGCUAGCUUCAUCUUUAUUUUCUAAAGCUAACUACUGGAGUGAUGAAAAUCUAAUUUUACUAGACUUUAGCCUCUUAUGGGUCAUGUGGACAGGCCAUCUCUCUCGUAGCCAAGAGGGGCCUGAGUAGAUGCAGUUGGAUACGAGGUUUAGAGAUUCUAAUCUUAAAGCUAUUGGAUGGAUUGAUGAAUAAUGGAAACGAUAAUUGGUUUUUUUGAUUUAUUGUGAGCUCAACCCCCCUCCCCUCUCCACUAACUUGUCCAUGAAUUGCAGUUGGAUUCAGAUCUCAGGGUUUGUCCGUGAUAUACAAUUUGGAUGACUGAUAAUGUAAUAUAUGAUUUUAUUUAUUUUAUUGCAUUUUUAUUCCGUUUCUUUUUGCUGAUGGCCCCCUCCCCACCUGGAUGUUCCAUUGGUUUGUCUAUUGCAUGCAGUUGGAUCUCGUGUUUGGAGUCUUAUCUCAAAGCUAUUAAUGGAAGAUUAUCUAAUUUGUGAUUUUUAAUUCCAUAGUUCUAUUUCGUGCUAAUCACCCCCUCGCAACCUAGAUGGUAAAAAUGCAGUUGGAUAUGAGGUUUAGAGUCUUAUCUUAACAGUUGUGAUGGGCACAAACAUAAGGGGAAGAUAAUCUAAAUUGUGAGUUAUUUACUUCAUAGGACUUCUGUUCCCUUGUGUGCUAAUACCACGAUGUUUCAUUUUGUCUUGUGCUUUCUGAUCUGUCCUUGAUUUCGAUUCUCUGCUUGAAACAGACGUGGGUUUACUUACCGUUUGCAUUUUAAUGCUUCUAGAGUAAUUGGACUCAUUCAGGCAAUCUGUUUUUCCUUCUUACUGUUGAUUGUAGUUGUUUGUUAUGGGACUUGCUCGCCUUUUUUGCAGAACCUGUGGUAGUGGUAAAGUUGGCUGAAUUGGAAUGUAUGAUUAUGCAUCAAGGCCCUGGCAGUAUGUCUCGGUCUUUGCUGAAUGUGGUUUGUGUUCCAAAGCUCCGAAUUUAGAAAAUUCCACAAGUCUGUUCUACUUCCCUGCCAUUGAGUUUAGUUCUUCCGGUUUUGGGGUUUGCUCGGCUUUUUUUGCAGAACCUAGAUGGGAUCGGCCCUAUUAUAUGUUUACUGCUCUCCAUCGAUUCUCUGUCAUUGGUAUUUUCUGACCGUUCAUCAUCACUUCACUAACCAGCAUAUUUGAUGAAGGUGAAAUUCUGUUUGUAUUAUAUUGUCAGGCCGUUUGAAGGGUGUUAUCUCAGCUUUCGUCUUCUUAAUGGUUUGCCAAGAAUCGUUUAAUUGAACAUCCUCCAUUUGUUUAGUGAUUUCUGUUGUCAGCAGUUUGUUCGUUGGAGUUUUUGGGUUGUGUUUGUUAGACAUGUGUUGCUUUAAUUUCUGGAACUGGACUUGUGGUGACAUCUGGUGCUUUGAUCUAAUUCGAGUUGAUGUUUUGUGGCUUUGUUCUAAGAAGAUUUUUGACUCCUUACUGCAGAUUCUAAUCUUGGUUAUUAUAUUAUGGGGUUUGGGUUAACAUUUUGAAGGACUCUACAUAAUGUGAAGCAGUGAAACCAGCAAAGUAAGCUGUUGACCCUAUUCACGUUUCUUGGUUAACGAAUUUCUUGAAGAUACCAAAUAUUGGUCUGAACUGCUCUUUCUAUCACUCUACUUAUUUACAUCACUUUUUUGUAACCUUUCUGUUUUUUGGCUGCAAGUAUAAUGAUUUGUCUGUCCUAUUUCCGCCUAAACUGGUUUGAUUAAUUAUUAAUUAUAUCAUCAAAGAGCUGUUUUUGUUGCUAGCAGAUCACCCUUUUUCGGAUAUUAAUUACCCGAACCCUUUUUUCGGCCUUUAGAAGCAAAUUUUGAUAUCAUUCGUACGUGCCAAGAUUAGUUAAUAGGAAACACAAUCUCCCAAAAAGCACUGAUGAAAUUCUAUCUUAACUUUAUUACGCGGAAAAAAUAACAUGGAGAUUAUUGUAGUUCUUUCAGAAAUCCUAGUGAACUUUUUUCGGCCUUUGGAAGCAAAUUUUUAUAUCGUUCGUACUUGCCAAGAUUAGUUAUUAGGAAACACUGAUGAAAUCCUAGUUAACUUUAUUUUGCGAAAAAAAAAGCAUGGAGAUUAUAUAGUUCUCUAAAAAAUCCUAGUUAACUUUUCAAAUGUAUAAUCCAAUUACGUGUGGCUUCUUGAACUUUCUCUGCAUGUCCUCUGGUUUUUUUUGUGGCUUGUUUGGUUCUAUAUUUAUUGUUUAGUAAAAUAAGCUGUAUGUUCGAGUUUGUCUUCCUAGUACCUCCUAGAGUUCCGGGUUGCUGAGUUGAUGGUGUUAUGCUGGUUUCUCAAUUUUCUUAGCGGGAUUUAAGGUAAUCAUAAUACAUAUUUAUGGCUCUAUGGUCCUUUUAUAAUUGAAUAAUCUAUUUAUUAACUUUUCUAACUUGAGUAGGAUAAUUUAAACUAUAAUUUACAAUUUAUAAUUUAUGGAUGAUUAUCAGCUAGAUUUUGUUCUUUCUGCUAUAUAUAAUCAAUUUUAUAUGUUCGUCCUCUAGUUUUAUAGGAUUCUAGUGAUCCAGAUUUAUAUAAUUCAUAAAUUACAAAUUAUAAUGUACUGAUUUGAAUUUGAUUUUUUAUUUAAUAUUUUCAUAAACUUGCUGAAUAUAAAAUUUAUUUUCAAUAGUGGCAUUUUAAACCUGUUUCUUAAUUAACAUGCCAUCCUUGGUCCACUAGUUUCAAUCCCUUAGUCUUGAUGGGACUUACUUUUCUAAGUAAUCUAGUAAAAUUACAAUUUGGUAUUCUUUAACGUGCUUCUUCUGCAGAUCAAGUGACUAGUAUUCUUUAUUGUGGCCUUGAAGAUCUUUUUUGGGUUUUGAUCCAUGCUUUUCAAAUCUUGAUGCAUUAUGCAUCCAUGAGGAUUUGGGAUUUUUUCCUGACGAUUUUUCUACACAAUCAAAGUUGGCACUAUGCACGUCGGAAUGAAAAAAACUGGUUCAGUUGCCCAUGUUGGAUUUCGUACGCGUAGGAUUUGUUGAUGUUAUGAUCCAUUAGACUUAAUAUUGUUGUCAAGUGGCUGCUCGUAUUUUGUGAUUCUUAUGAGGAGACUUUAGAUUUGCUGCUCUGCUGUUUUGAGCAUGUUUAAAAUCUAUCGAAUAUGCUUCAUCGUGAUUUGUACUUGUAGUGCGUGAAAUUGUCUUUCGCAGAUUGUGAGUUAAUGUUUUUAUCUAACACUGGUAAUAUGUUAAAGUGCCGCAUUUUUCAAGACUCAGUGAGUUUAGUUGAUUAAGGUUUGUUUCUGCGUAAUUGUUAAGUAUUAGUUACCUUAUAUGAUAAAAUUUAUUUUCUCUUGGAUUUGUCUCUGAUACGACUUUGGUAAUAUUUUUCACAUAAGGUAUUUCCUUUAUCAGUAAUGUUUUCCACAAUAAUUAAAAGAAAAAGAGGGAAAUGAAUGAUUCAGAAGAGUAAGAAUGUUUUUACUAGUAAAGCUUUUAUCCCAUCUACUAACCUUUGUGAUUUUUAGCUGCUUAGUGAUUAACUAAAUUACUUAUCAAUUUGACCUACUUGUUUGCCCAGUUUGAAAAUUCAUAAAAACAAUGGUAUAUGAAUCAAAAUAUUUCUCAGCCUUAAUUAAUAUUUGUUGUCUCGAACGGUAUGUACAAUUUGCUUGCUUAUAUCUAUCUGUGAUUAUGUGUGUCUUUUAGUGUUGGUAGUUGUAUAUAGGUUUAUUCUUGUAACUCCGCCUGUGCUUGCAAUAUUUUAUUUGCUCAGCACAGCCGGUCCCAAGCCCGGGUAAAGGAGGAGGGCCGAGAAUAUGUUUUUCCAGUAUUACAAAGUAGUUUCCCAUAUUUCUAAAUUUUCGUUGGAAAUGGAUUGCGGCAUGCAUGAAAUGGAUGUUGCAAUCCAUUUCUAACGAAAAUUUAGAAAAAUGGGAAACUGAUUGAUGCGUGAUGUUCUGAAUCAUAGUAACUGUUGAAUACCAAUGUACGAGUGGAAUUACAACAAUUUGGCUGACUGUCUUAACGCUAUUCUUGUAGUUUAGGGCUUGUUGUUUUCUCGUAGUCUUUGUUUCCUUAGAUCUCGUUCUCUUUGUUUUUUUUUUCUUUCCUUUUUUUUUUCGUUUUCUUAACUUUUAGAUUCCAAAAACUUUGGAACUGGAAUUCAAAAUGGUUUUUUACUUCGGGAAAAAUACAACUUUGUUUUUAUUUAAUUUUUUUCGAAGAGGUCAAUUUCGAUCUGAUGCAUCUGCACCCAUAGUGUUUCCGUGUUUUCUCCUUCUCUAUUAAUAUAUAUGAAAAAAACAAAAGAAAAAUAACUACUCAGGUCUUUUUUCUGUUUCAUGAUUGAAUAGGUCUUUUUGGUUUGAUGGAUGGAUAAGGGGUGAUUGCAAUAUAAUCGCUCAUAAUGUGGGUGUAUUUACAUGAAAACUUGAUUUAAAAAUAAAAAAUUCUAAUUCUUAAUUCCUAUCUCAUAAUGUGGGUGUAUUUACAUGAAAACUUGAUUUAAAAAUAAAAAAUUCUAAUUCUUAAUUCCUAUCGCAAUUUUUUUUUAGGAUAAAAUGACGAUGUAUUAGACUAAAUGCGUCAGUUCAAGGGGUAAAGAAGAACCCUCAUUACACUAGUCACUAAAUCCAGUAGCUAGCCCAUGGGCCAACAUAUUGCCGCUGCGUUUAACAAAAGAAAAAUCGCAUAAUAAUAAAGAACUAGCAAUGCGUAAAAUGUCUUCAAUGAAAACUCCAAACGACGAGAGAGAAGAUUCUCUUGCUUUAAGAACCUUGAUAACUUGUAAGCAGUCACCUUCUAAAAUGAUCGAGUGCCAUCCGUGAUGUCGUGCUUGGUUGAUAGCUGUCAAAGCCGCGUGAGCCUCGCAAUCCUCCACGGUCGGCCUACCUUUGAACUUGCGGACCGCCCACCAAAUGCAUACCCCACGCGAAUCCCGUGCAACUAUUCGCGAGCCCUAGAAUUGCGACUACAAGAUUUUUUUUUUUUUUUUCCUUGAAAGAACGAUUGUGAGAUUUUUGCAAGCCCUAGAAUUCGUGACUAUGAGAUUUCAUGUCUUCCGUUCCUAUAUCUUUACAUAUCUUAUGGUUUUGUGACAUCACAUUGCACAAUUUUGUUCGUUUCAUCAUGCAAAAAACUUUUAAAAGUUCAGAAACACUACAUCUUGGUCGAUUUUCUACGACGUAAUUCUCUUAAUCUUAGAUUAGUGUGGAUUUAUGUUCGAGAAUCAAUGGUGUAAAUCAGCAUAUUUAUGAUGUUUGUGAACCUAAUGUAUAGAUCCUUUUUUCCGAAGAUGGACGAGCUAGAUAGGCACGAACUUCUAGAGCAUUAGAUGUAGGAUCACGAGACGUAACUCUUCGACGAAUUUCUUCCCUUUGAAUAGUUGCACACACUCUUCAAAGAUGGAAGUUCUGCAUUCAUCAGAAUAUGGCUCCUAAAGUCCUCAAAAUUAAGACUAAGGCUGGUUAACAAUUGAAACCCAAUCAACCUCUAUUCGUUUCCUCAAAAUGACUGGAUCAAUCGUUAGAGGUCGAUAAAUUUCUAACUCAUUACACAAACUUUUUAGACUGCCCAAUAGACUCACAAACGGUUUAUCAUCUUGAUGAAUGUUGGCAAUAUCUUGUUGAAUCUGGAAGAUUUUGGCAGAAUUGUUUCGAUUCCCAUACAUGUCACGAACAACUUCCCAUGGAUCCAAUGAGGACUCCGAAUAACUAAGGAUUUCAGCAAGAUGACUCUCCAUUGAGUUGAGGAUUAGAGACAUAACCAUUUGAUCCUUUUGUAGCCAAGCAUCGUAAUCUGGCGAACUACAAUCUGAAGAUUUUUCCUUGUCAUUGAUGAACAAAAAGAAUUUUAUUAAAAUUAAAAGUCAGCAAAAAUGAUAAAUGCGGGUCCAAAAAUGCUAAAUGCAGUUGGUGGAAAUGUUGAAUGGAAGUGGGCAAAGAUUGCACAUAAGGGCACAAUUAUAAUUUUGCCUCCUCGGGGUAUCUUAAAGAAAGAAUUUUAGGGAUGGACCUACAGCCCUAUAUAUUUUCCAUAUUAGGGAUGUAUAUCACAUGACCCCUAUUAUGAUGUGGUUUUUUUUAAUUUUUAUUUUUUUGAGCGGAAAUUUAGUAGCUAUGAGUUUUACGUUUAUCGACGUGGAUAUUCUUAUUUUUUGAAAAUUAUGAAAUUUUUCAGAAGAUUUCCGCUAUGUUUUUAUUUUAUUUUAAAUCUUAUGUGAUUUUCGAUUUUUUCCGAAAUUCCAAAAUUUUGAGACCUUUUGGAAUUGGAAUUAAUUUUUAAAUUCCAAAAAUUUUAUAAUUGGAUUUCAUGAUAGAUAUAUUAAAUUAAUUAAAUGGGUCAUUUGAUAUAUACCCCUAAUAUGAAAAAUAUAUAGGGCAAGGUCCACCUACCCCUAAAAUUAUUUCUAUGAGAUACCCUCCUGGAGAGGCAAAAGUACUAUUGUGCCCUUAUGUGCAAUUUUCGCCCAAGUGCAUUCAUCAUUUCCACCAACUACAUUUAGCAUUUUUGACUUGCAUUUAUCAUUUUCGUUGAUUUUAAUUUUAAUAAAAAAUAUUGUUUUUAUUCCUAUAUAUAUUACUUUUAUUAUUAUUAUUGUAUUUUUUAAUCUUUCAAUUUUUUUUAAUUUAUAUAUAUAUAUAUAUAUAUAUAUAUAUAUAUAUUAUAAAUUUACUGUACUGGAAUCGCUACACAUGACUAUAGUGUACUACAAGUUCUAUAGUCAUCUAUAGUUACCUGACUAUAGCAUACUACAAGUUCUAUAGUCAUGUACAUUUAUAUUUAGUCGUGUACUGUCUUUUUACCCAAAAGUUAUGAUCGACUGAUUAUGUAGACUGCUGAUUUUAUAAAAAAAGAAUUUCAUCUACAACAAAAACAAAAUUCACAAUUUGAAUCUUAAUAUUGCAAAUCAAUUAGUACCAAAAAAUAAAUUGGAAAAACAUAAUGAUCAACGUCACUAUACAUGAGGAAAAAACACAGAGCUUAUAUAUAAUAGCUUAUACAUAACUAUAUGUUACACAUCUAACUACACGUGACUAUAUAUGUCUGCAUGUUUAUGAACACAUGUGACUAUUUAUGACCACAUAUGACUAUAUAUGACUUCAUACCACAAAUCUCUCCAACACUUGAACAAAUAUAGCCAAGUUCCGAUCGGGAAAGCAUUCAGCAAUUGCAUUACAUGUGCUCUUACUCGAAAAAAACCCAAUCAGAAAUAGAAAUUGGUGAGUAACACGGUAAACAAAUUUAUUUAAACAAAGCACGAUUCACACGAGCCUAUGGCAAAAUAUUAUUAAACCUUUUGCAUCCAAAUAAAUGGAAGAAGAAGGGCUACAAAAGCUUCUAUAAUCAUUUUAUGUUAUGUGUGCCUGUGUAAUCUUUUAUUAGAUUUAUAUAUACAUAUUUGUAUUUAAUAUAUAUUAUUUGUGUGAAGAGUAUAUGCUGGUGAUGUUUAUGUAUAUCAGUAGGGUAGGUGAUAGUGUGUGUGUGUGUGCAGAUUUAAAUUUGAAGCAAAAUUCGUUGUUUAUUUAACUCAUUUUCUUUUUCGCAGGUUUUGGUGUUUGAACUACUAUGUAGUAAGUUUUUGCGGAGUCAACAUUGUGUUCAUCGUUCAAAACAAGCCGUUCUCGUGUUGUAGAUCUAAACUUGUAACAACUCGUGUUUCAUUACUGAGAAUCGAUAGAUCAAAAUAGGAUCAAAUGGAUGUGAUUUCUCUUCUGUGUUCUAUCUUUCUGUAAUCGAGCCGAUGAAAAAUAUUUGUGCACGAAUUCACAGGAAUUUAUAUGUACCAACCAUACAUAUAGAUUUAUGUUCUGCACAUGUAUAUACGUAUUAUAUUAUAUAGUUUAUAUUCACACAAAAACACACAACACCACACAUAAACCCACCAACAUACACAUAGCCAACAAACACAUACGCUGACUUCACACUGCAUCACAAUGCAGACGCAAUUUUAGAACUACUUUUCUCAAAUUGAAUUACAUAAUUCAAUUACCUCAAUCGAGCCAUAUAUCCUCAGAUUGCACACACAAUUUUAGAACUACUUUUCUCAAAUUGAAUUACAUAGUUCAAUUACCUCAAUCGAGCCCUAUAUCCUCAGGUUUCCACUAUGGUUUUCCUAAGUUCUAAUAGAUGUCGAUGAUUUCAUCUUCAACGGUGAAAACCCUAGUCUUCCUCGUUUUCAGAAACCGGCAUGCUUCACAAUUUUGCAUAACAACCGUCGCCGACGAUUUAAGCCGUCACACCCAAGCCUCUGCCGCGCGUCACCACCCGACAUUUGAGGUGCUUCUUCUUCCUCUUCUUUGUCGGUGCUAAAUCUAACGAGGAAGAGGGAGAGACGAAGAGACGAGGGACAGAUGUAAACGGCGGUUUGUGUGUGAGACGUGCGAGUGGAAGAGAGAGAAACUUAAAGUGUUAGGGCAUGUAUUGACUUGAAACUAAAGUGAAAAAUAGAUACUUCAAUUUGUCCAAGGGUCUGCCUAAUUCAAACUAGGAGUUUUUGACUAAGACAGAAAAAUCAAUAGAACUUUCUCAUAUAUAUUUUCAAAUAUAAGUGGUAUCACUCAUUUGCCCAUAAUUAAAUAAUUAUAUUAUGUUUUAUAUCUUAGUAAUUCGACAAAUUUAGAAUCCAUCUGGAAAGUCAACUAAAACCCAUUGUAUUAAAACACAUCCGAUGAUAAAAUUAUCUUGAUUUGUUGAACAAAUUGCAUACUUAUCAUGGGAAUAGGGGUAAAAAUCGGAUGUAUCGGAUUGAAAUUAGCCUUCUCGGGCAACGGCAAUAAUAAUAACAAUAAUAAUAACACUUACACUAACAAUAACAAUAAUAUAAAAUAUAAGAGACAAGAUCUAAGAAAACAAAGACUGCGAGAAAAUUAUGAAGCCCAAAACUUGAAAACCAUUUCAUGAACAUCCAUUUCAUGCAUGUUGCUAAGACUAAAAUUCCAUUUCUAACAAAAAAAUUACGAACCAACCCUCAUUAGGAGAGUUGGUAUCUAGCCUUUACCGAUAGGGUAAAGGUCUAGGGUUCGCGUCCCUCUCUCCCCUACUUCAUCUUGUAAUGGACUUGAAUUUACUAAAAAGAAAAACAAAAAAUUAGGGAAAUGGGAAACUAUUAUACUAUAUAUCCAUUAGCACCAUUACGUAUGGACUAAGUUUGAUAGACAAGUGCCUUCUUCUCCUUUUACGAAUCUUAUUUGCCUCAUGACAAAGCUUAUUUCCAAUUUGUAAUGUAUACAUGUACAUCGUGAAUGAAAAAUGUACAGAGCUUUCAUUUCACAAUUCAUCAUCUUUCUCCUCCCGUUUAAUCUAUAUCGUUAUUUUAUUUUGUGCACCCACAAUAUAUAAUAGUUUAUUCUAUAACACGUUAUCGGCACGAGGUUUUGCUCGAUUAGGGAUUUGCUAUUUUCGUAUUUUUCUUUCUAUUUUGUUUUACAAAAUCCAGAUCCUUAAUUUAUUGUUGAAAAGACAAACGAGAAUGAUUAGCAAAUACUUCGGUAUUUUAUACGCAAUCAUUUCUCAAAGGAUAUGAUGGAUUCGUAUAUAUACGUAUAUAGCUCAUAUAUAUGUUGAAUUGCUGCUGAAAUUUAUAUUUGCAAGCUUGUGGAUCCCAAGCAGUGCUAUAAGCACGUGCUAAUUUUAACAGAUCUGUGGGCCGACUUAGAGGCCAAGUAAUAUAACUCCGAGUCUAAACUCGUUGAGCCUAGAAAGCCGAUUUAGAGGCUAAUUCAUAAAUAUAACUCCGAGCCUAAAGCUCGUUGAGUCGAGACGUGAUAAUAUCCGUCAAAAGCCGAUUUAAAGGCCAAAUAUCUGAAAAUAUCUCCGUGUCUGAAGCUCGUAGAGUCGCUAGACGAGGUAAAACCCCUCUAGAGCCAACUUAGAGGCUAUUAAUCACAAGUCCAUAUUUAAGGGUUUUGGGUUAUUUUGUACCUACUGUAUAUAAAUCUUUCUUGGAAGGUGUGAUUCCCAAGAUUGAGUUGUUUUGAAUAAACCCACAUGUACAUAUCUCCCUUGGAGGAUAAAUACCCGAGGUCGAGCUGAUUUUGAUACGCGUACAUGAAAAACAUGGACACAUAUGACUAUUGCCUACUCGAUAGUGCAACUACACACUCAAUAUUCAAUAAUAAAAUAUAUUUCUCGAGUGUGACUUUGUGCAAGGCACAAGUUAAAAUCAUAGCGGGUUCCGCAGAAAUAUAGAUGGCUCCGGGAACGCAACAAUUGUGUUGCCUAAUGGUACCACUUUGCAUAUUGAAAAUGCAUUGAUAUCCGGUAGAUCAAACAAGAAUCUACUGAGUUUUAAAGAUGUGAGACGCAAUGGGUAUCAUUUAGAGACACAGGUUGAAAAUAUUGUGGAGUGCCUAUGCGUCACAUCAUAUGUCAUGGACAAAAGAAUUGUUCAUGAGAAGUUCGAAGCGACAGCUUCUAGACUGUAUUGUGUCCAAAUUCGAGCUUUCGAAUCCUACGCCACUAUGCUAUGGAAACUUGUUAAUCCCGAUAUACACGGGGCAUGGCAUGAUCGACUGGGUCACCCAGGAACGACUAUGAUGCGUAGGAUUGCACAACACACUAGAGGACAUCCAUUAAAAGAUACAAAAAUCUUGAUGUCCAAUGAAUAUUUAUGUGAAUCAUGUUCACAAGGAAAGCUCAUUAUAAAACCUUCCAUUGAAGAGGUCGGUUAUGAAUCACCAUCGUUUUUACAAUGCAUGCAUGGUGAUCUUGAUGUCCAGCAAGUGGGCCAUUUAGAUAUUUUAUGAUUUUAGUGGACGCAUCUUGUAGAUGGUCCCACGUAUGCUUAUUAUCUACGCGAAAUGUUGCAUUUGCGCGUUUGCUAGCACAAAUUAUUAAACUCCGAGCACAUUUCCCUUAUUAUCCCAUUAAAAACAUAAGAAUGGAUAAUGCCGUAGAAUUUACAUCAAAAAGUUUUGAUGAGUACUGUGCAGCACUGGGAAUAAAUGUCGAGCACCCAGUAGCGUUCACACUCAAAAUGGACUGGCGGAAUCUCUGAUUAAACGCGUCCAAAUAAUUGCUCGUACUUUGCUGAUGAGAUCUAAACUCACUAGUGCAGCAUGGGGCCAUGCAGUAUUGCAUGCAUCAGCACUGAUUAAAUUACGCCCCACUGCUUAUCAUAUGCAUUCCCCAAUGCAAUUGGCAUUAGGCUUUGAGCCCGAUAUUUCGCACCUUCGUACAUUUGGUUGCGCUGUGCAAGUGCCAAUUCCUCCUCCUGAGAGGACUAAAAUGGGUCCCCAACGCCGACUUGGCAUAUACGUUGGGUUUGAUUCACCGUCGAUUAUUAGGUUCUUGGAACCAAUGACGGGUGAUUUAUUUACCGCUAGAUUUUCGGAUUAUCAUUUUGAUGAGACAUUAUUUAUGCCGAUUGGUAAGGAUAUUCAGAAUAUCCGUGAUAAUGAUAAACAAAAACCAAUCGAGAAUAUCACAUGGUGUGAGCAACAUUUAUCUCAUCUAGACCCACGUACCUCUGAAUGUGAAAAUGAGAUUCAUAUAAUCAUUCAUUUACAAAAUCUUGCUAAUAAACUUCCUGAUGCAUUUAAUGACGCCAGUAAAGUCACAAAAUCUUAUAUUCCAGUUGUGAAUGUGCCAGCUAGGAUCGUUGUUCCUGAAGAACAUGCGAAAAUGAAUGAUGAUCCCCCACGGCAAAAAAGGGGUAGACCUAUUGGAUCAAAGGACAUUGUUCCUAGAAAAAGAAAGGGGGAAAUCGAUGAAUCCUCCAACCUAGUGGUUCCUAGUGAGAAUGCUAGAUGAAUCUGUUGAGCCUAAUAUCGAAAAAAUGAUAUCAAAUCGCGGGAAUACCGAGAAUCCCAUAAGUUAUUCCAAUGAAAUAUGGGAUAGAAAUGAGAUAAUCAUCGAUAAAUUUUUUGCAUUCUCGGUUGCACAAGAAAUUAUGUACGAUAAUUAUGAUAGUGAACCGCGUUCCAUAAUGGAAUGCCGCCAAAGAAACGAUUGGCCUAAGUGUGAAGAAGCAAUAAAAUCUGAAUUGAGUUCCUUAGAAAAACGGAAAGUAUUUGGGCAAAUUGUUCGAACUCGGGAUAAUGUAAAGCCCGUUGGGUAUAAAUGGGUAUUUGUCCGUAAGAGAAACGAGAAUGAUGAAAUUGUACGAUAUAAAGCCCGCCUUGUAGCUCAAGGCUUUUCCCAGCGGUUUGGGAUUGAUUAUGAUGAGACGUAUUCACCAGUGAUCGAUACGAUCACUUUUCGUUUCCUUAUAAAUAUGGUCGUCCAAGAGGGACUGGAUAUGCGUCUAAUGGAUGUUAUAACAGCCUAUCUAUAUAGUUCACUAGAUUCUGAUAUUUAUAUGAAAAUUUUCGAUGGAUUUAAAAUGCCAAACUCUUGCGCUCCUCGUGAGCUGCACUCAAUCAAAUUACAAAGAUCAUUGUAUGGCCUAAAGCAAUACGGUCGCAUGUGGUAUCAUAGAUUGAGUGAAUAUCUUAUCAAGGAAGAUUAAAAAAAUGACCCUAUUUGCCCAUGCGUUUUUAUUAAAAGAUCAGAAAUCGGAUUUGCUAUCAUUGCAGUUUAUGUAGAUGACAUGAACCUGAUUGGCACUCCUGAAGAGUUGGUCAAUGCUACUGAAUACUUAAAGAAAGAGUUUGAGGUCAAAGACAUUGGAAAAACCAAAAUUUGUCUUGGAAUAUAGCUUGAGCAUAAAAAUAACGGCAUACUUAUACACCAAUCUGCAUAUACUAAACGAUUGCUCAAAAGAUUUAAUAUGGAAAAUGCUAAUCCAUUGAGCUCCCCUAUGAUUGUGCGCAAUUCAGAUCCUAAGAAGGAUCCGUUCAGACCUAAAGAAAUGAUAUCAUAUCCCGGGAAUACCGAGAAUCCCAUAAGUUAUUCCAAUGAAAUAUGGGAUAGAAAUGAGAUAAUCAUCGAUAAUAUUUUUGCAUUCUCGGUUGCACAAUAAAUUAUGUACGAUGAUUAUGAUAGUGAACCGCGUUCCAUAAUGGAAUGCCGCCAAAGAAACGAUUGGCCUAAGUGUGAAGAAGCAAUAAAAUAUGAAUUUGCUUCCUUAGAAAAACGGAAAGUAUUGGGGCAAAUUGUUCGAACUCCGGAUAAUGUAAAGCCCGUUAGGUAUAAAUGGGUAUUUGUCCGUAAGAGAAACAAGAAUGAUGAAAUUGUAUGAUAUAAAGCCCGCCUUGUAGCUCAAGGCUUUUCCCAGCGGCCUGGGAUUGAUUAUGAUGAGACGUAUUCACCAGUGAUCGAUACGAUCACUUUUCGUUUCCUUAUAAAUAUGGUCGUCCAAGAGGGAUUGGACAUGCGUCUAAUGGACGUUGUAACAGCCUAUCUAUAUGGUUCACUAGAUUCUGAUAUUUAUAUGAAAUUUCCGAUGGACUUAAAAUGCCAAACUCUUGCGCUCCUCGUGAGCUGCACUCAAUCAAAUUACAAAGAUCAUUGUAUGGUCUAAAGCAAUACGGUCGCAUGUAGUAUCAUAGAUUGAGUGAAUACCUUAUCAGGGAAGAUUAAAAAAAUGACCCUAUUUGCCCAUGCGUUUUUAUUAAAAGAUCAGGAACCGAAUUUGCUAUCAUUGCAGUUUAUGUAGAUGACAUGAACCUGAUUGGCACUCCUGGAGAGUUGGUCAAUGCUACUGAAUACUUAAAGAAAGAGUUUGAGGUCAAAGACCUUGGAAAAACCAAACUUUGUCUUGGAAUAGAGCUUGAGCAUAAAAAUAACGACAUACUUAUACACCAACAUAUACUAAACGAUUACUCAAAAGAUUUAAUAUGGAAAAUGUUAAUGCAUUGAGCACCCCUAUGAUUGUACGCAAUUUAGAUCCUAAAAAGGAUCAGUUCAGACCUAAAGAAUUCAAUGAGGAGAUACUUAGCCCAGAAGUGCCAUAUCUCAAUGCUAUUGGAGCGUCAAUGUAUUUAGCACAAUGUACUCGACCUGAUAUCGCUUUUGCGGUAAAUGUGCUUGCGAGAUACAGUUCUGAGCCAACCCGGAGACACUGGAAUGGUGUUAAACAUAUUUUUCGUUAUCUCCGUGGUACUGCGGAUUUGGGAUUAUUCUAUUCAAAAAAUAAAACUAUCCAAUGGUUAGUUGGUUAUGCCGAUGUGAGAUAUAGAUCUGAUCCGCACAAAGCUCGCUCACAAACUGGAUAUUUGUUUUGUUAUAAUGGUACAUGAAUAUCUUGGCGAUCUACCAACCACACAUUAGUGGCAACCUCCUCAAAUCAUUCAGAAAUAAUUGCACUUUAUGAGGGUGGCAGAGAAUAUGUUUGGUUAAGAUCACUCAUUUCACAUAUACGAAAUUCUUGUUAAUUUAAUCCAGUUACAAAUACGCCCACUAUCAUUUAUGAAGAUAAUGCUGCUUGCUUAGCACAAACAAGAGGCGGAUAUAUAAAGGGUAAUAGGACCAAGCAUAUAGCACCAAAAUUCUUUCAUACACACGAGCUUCAGAAGAAUGGAGAAAUUGAUGUCCAACAAAUUCGCUCGUGUGACAAUCUUGCUGAUUUAUUUACAAAGUCCUUACCGAUAUCUACUUUUGAGAAAUUGGUAUACUCCAUUGGAAUGAGAAGAGCCAAUGUGAGGCAAGAUUUACGCCCCAUCUCAGAAAUUAUAUUGCUCAUUUCAGGGGAGCAAUGAUGCACUGCACUCUUUUUUCCUUAUGACUGGUUUUGUCCCACAGGGUUUUCCAGUAAAGAUUUUUGACAAGGCAGCUUAUGCACACAGCUAGAUUUGAGACGCUACAAAUUAGUGCUACAUCUAAGGGGGAGUUUUAUCAGAAGUAGACUUCCGCACUAAGUUUUGUAUUGAUGACUAAUCUUCUAGUAAUACGUGUCAAUACAUGAGAUAAUUUAUAUCUUGUUUGAUGAAUGUGCAGUGUAAAAUUUGAUGUAUAAAUAGAUGGCUUUUAUUAAUGAAAUAUUAUAUCAUCUUUCUUUGCGGAUCAAUACAUCUUCCAUAAUACAAUAAUGUAUAUUAUAUAAUAUUACUUUGAAUGCUUUCAACAUUACGCAGUUCAAUUCAUGAAUAUAGCGUCUGUCUUCAUCUUUUCAAUUACUUAAAAUUCUUAAGGGAAUUGUUUUUUGCGGUUUGAAAAUUGCUAUUUGCGGUUUAUAACAAAACCCCUCAAAAAAAUACUUUAUUUCACUAAAACCCCAAAACUUCCCAAAUUAAUCCAAAAACCCCCUCAAAACGCGUAAAAGCCCAGCUUGGGCGCCCAUUCAUGCAGUGCACGCCCAAGUUGGGCGUGCAAGCUGCAUUUGGGCGCCCGAGUUGGGCGUCCAGUGCAAAAAUGUUUUUUUUUUUAUUUAUUUUUUUUUUUUUUAUUUUUUUUUUAAUGUUCGAACGCCCAUCUUGGGCGUUCGAACAUUUUUUUGCGAAAAAAAAAGCCCUACAAAUGGAACGGGCGUUCGUACACGCCUUGGGCGCCCAUCUUGGGCGUUCGAACAUUUUUUUGCGAAAAAAAAAGCCCUACAAAUCGAUUUGUAGGGCUUUUUAGCAUAAAAUUGGUUCCGUAAUCGACCUACCCAAUGCAUAUUACACAUAAAAGAGUCGAAAUUACAUCAAAAAAUCGAAGCCCAACCCUUCUUCAAGCUUGAUUUCGAAUUUUCGAUUUUGUUUUUUUUUUUUUUUGCUAUUUGCAGUUUUGGGGGGUUUUUUGAUAUUUUUAAAAGUUUUGGGGGAUUUUGUUAUAAACCGCGAAUAGCAAUUUUGUGACCGCAAAUAGCAUUUCAUAAUUCUUAAUUAUAUUAUACUAUAUAUUUUACAACAAAAACCAUAUUAUUAAUGUUUUUACUGUUAAAUUUUCUCGGCCCUCCUCCUUUACCCGGGCUUGGGACCGGCUGUGCCGAGCAAAUAAAAUAUUGCAGGCACAGGCGGAGUUACAAGAAUAAACCUAUAUACAACUACCAACACUAAAAGACACACAUAAUCACAGAUAGAUAUAAGCAAGCAAAUUGUACAUACCGUUCGAGACAACAAAUAUUAAAACUGAGAAAUAGUUUGAUUCAUAUCCGAUAGUAGAUUGGAUGAAAGCUUAGUUACUUGUAAAAACUUUUGUACUCAUUUCAAUCGUUCAUUUCCCUUUUCUUUCUUCUAAUUAUUGUGGAGAACAUUAGAGAUAAAGGAAACACCUCAUGCGAAAAAAAUUACCAAAGUCGUAUCCAAGAGGACAUAAAUUUUAUCAAAUAAGGUAAACUAAUACUUACAUGUUUACGCAGAAACAAACCUUAAAUCAAAUAAAUUCACUGAGACUUGAAAAAAAUGCAUCACUUUAGCAUAUUAGCAGUGUUAGAUAAGAGCAUUAACUCACAAUCUGCAAAAAGACAAUUUCACGCACUUGAAAAUUCUCACAUAGUAGAAAUCACGAUGAAGAACUGACUAAGAACUGUGCAGAAUGGUAUUCCAAAAAGCAUAUUCAAUAGAUUUUAAACAUCGUCAAAAUAGCAGAGCAGCAAACCUAAUAUCUCCUCAUAAGAAUCACAACAUGCGAGCAGAAACCGAGGCCCUAACAGUCAACUUCAAAUACUACUUGGCAACUGAACGAGGUUUAUUAUUCUGAGAUGAAUAGUGCCAACUUAGCUUGUGUAGAAAAAUUGCCAGGAAGAAAAAACCGAAUCUUCAUAGAUGCAUAAUAUACACGAACCUUAACUUGCUCAAUGCAUAUAAAACCACUCGAAGAUUUGACAAGCAUCGAUCAAAAACAAAGAGAUCUUCAAGGCCACAAUAAAGAAUACUACUCACUUGAUCAGCAUAAGCAGCACGUUCCACACUGCAUUAUCUGCCCAACUAAAAGCACAAACAAUUCCAGUGCAGAAUAACAGAAAACCCGAUAGAAAUAACAUCCCAACACUUUUACGACUGCUUUCAAAAUCUAAGGCAAGAAACAAAACUCGGUGCAGAAACCUUGUCAAGAAACCAAAGAACACCAUACAUGAAGACACAAGGCGGGGUCUUAUUGCAAGUCAUGAUCUCAUAUUUUGUAGUGAAGUACACGAGUCAAGUUAAUAUUAUAAAACACUCUCCAGGAAUCACAUAAAUUCAUGAUAGGGAUUAACUGAAGACUACCAAAGAAAAAUAAAGUAAAUAAAAAAUCACAGCUCCGAAAAAGCGAGCCACCCAAAGAUAAAAAGUUAAUAACCAACAAGAAAAAGAAGAGUCAAAAUUCUC